GAUGAACGCUGGCGGCGUGCCUAAUACAUGCAAGUCGAGCGAACAGACGAGGAGCUUGCUCCUCUGACGUUAGCGGCGGACGGGUGAGUAACACGUGGAUAACCUACCUAUAAGACUGGGAUAACUUCGGGAAACCGGAGCUAAUACCGGAUAAUAUAUUGAACCGCAUGGUUCAAUAGUGAAAGACGGUUUUGCUGUCACUUAUAGAUGGAUCCGCGCCGCAUUAGCUAGUUGGUAAGGUAACGGCUUACCAAGGCAACGAUGCGUAGCCGACCUGAGAGGGUGAUCGGCCACACUGGAACUGAGACACGGUCCAGACUCCUACGGGAGGCAGCGGUAGGGAAUCUUCCGCAAUGGGCGAAAGCCUGACGGAGCGACGCCGCGUGAGUGAUGAAGGUCUUCGGAUCGUAAAACUCUGUUAUUAGGGAAGAACAAAUGUGUAAGUAACUAUGCACGUCUUGACGGUACCUAAUCAGAAAGCCACGGCUAACUACGUG
rnacentral:rRNA from 1 species